UAACGCGUGGGUAACCUGCCUAAGAGGGGGACAACAGCCGGAAACGGCUGCUAAUACCGCAUAACAAGGGAUCUCCGCAUGAAGGUUCCUUCAAAGAUUUAUCGCUGUGAGAUGGACCCGCGUCUGAUUAGCUAGUUGGCAGGGUAACGGCCUACCAAGGCGACGAUCAGUAGCCGGCUUGAGAGAGUGAACGGCCACAUUGGGACUGAGACACGGCCCAGACUCCUACGGGAGGCAGCAGUGGGGAAUAUUGCACAAUGGGGGAAACCCUGAUGCAGCGACGCCGCGUGAGUGAAGAAGUAUUUCGGUAUGUAAAGCUCUAUCAGCAGGGAAGAUAAUGACGGUACCUGACUAAGAAGCCCCGGNUAACUACGUGCCAGCAGCCGCGGUAAUACGUAGGGGGCAAGCGUUAUCCGGAUUUACUGGGUGUAAAGGGAGCGUAGGUGGCAGGGCAAGUCAGAUGUGAAAACCCGGGGCUCAACUCCGGGAUUGCAUUUGAAACUGUCCGGCUGGAGUGCAGGAGAGGUAAGUGGAAUUCCUAGUGUAGCGGUGAAAUGCAUAGAUAUUAGGAGGAACACCAGUGGCGAAGGCGGCUUACUGGACUGUAACUGACACUGAGGCUCGAAAGCGUGGGGAGCAAACAGGAUUAGAUACCCUGGUAGU
rnacentral:rRNA from 1 species